rnacentral:rRNA from 1 species
AGUUCGAUUCUGGCUCCAGAUUGAACGCUGGCGGGAUGCUUUACACAUGCAGAGUCGAACACGGCAGCACGGACGGUCACGGUGGCGAGAGUGGCGAACAGAAUUGAGUAAUGUAUCGGAACGUGCCUAGUAGCGAGGAUGACUACGCGGCGUAGCUAAUACCACAUGCGCCCUUCGGGAAAGCAGGGGACCUUCAGACUCACACUCAUGGAAGCAGCCGAUAUCGGAUUAGCUAGUUGGUGGUGAAAACGGCUCACCAAGGCGACGAUCCGUAGCUGGUUUAGGGGGACGACCAGCCACACUGGGACUGAGGCCACGGCCCAGACUCCUGCGGGGAGGCAGCAGUGGGGAAUUUUGGACAAUGGGGGAAACCCUGAUCCAGCCAUCCCGCGUGUGCGAUGAAGGCCUUCCGGGUUGUAAAGCACUUUUGGCAGGAAAAGACUGGCACAGGGAUGUCCCCGUGCAACUGAUGUACCUGCAGAAUAAGCGCAGUAACUACGUGCCAGCAGCCGCGGUAAUACGUAGGGUGCAAGCGUUAAUCAAGUUACUGGGCGUAAAGCGUGCGCAGGCGGUUCGGAAAGAUGUGAAAUCCCAGAGCUUAACUUUGGAACUGCACGUUUAACUACAAGAGCUAGAGUGUGUCAGAGGAGAGUGGAAUUCCGCGUGUAGCAGUGAAAUGCGUAGAUAUGCGGAGGGCACCGAUGGCAGAAGGCAGCCUCCUAGGAUAACAUGACGCUCAUGCACGAAAGCGUGGGAGCAAGCAGGAUUAGAUGCACGGUAGUCCACGCCCUAAACGAUGUCAACUAGCUGUUGGGGCCUUCGGGCCUUGGUGGCCUGGCUAACGCGUGAAGUUGACCGCCUGGGGAGCACGGUCGCAAGAUUAAAACUCAAAGGAAUUGACGGGGACCCGCACGAAGCGGUGGAUGAUGUGGAUUCGCCAUUCAGUCAACGCGAAAAACCCAACACCUACACUUGACAUGUCUGGAAUCCCGAAGAGAUUUGGUGCUCUCGAAGAACCGAAGUUACAGGUGCUGUUUGCAUGGCUGUCGUCAGCUCGUGUCGUGAGAUGUUGGGUUAAGUCCCGCAACGAGCGCAACCCUUGUCAUUAGUUGCUACGAAAGGGGCACUCUAAUGAGACUGCCGGUGACAAACCGGAGGAAGGUGGGGAUGACGUCAAGUCCUCCCAUGGCCCCGCUUGGAUAAGACUACACGUCAUACAAUGGUCGGGACAGAGGGUCGCCAACCCCGCGAGAGGCAAUCCCAGAAACCCGAUCGUAGUCGGAUCGCAGUCUACAACUCGACUGCGUGAAGUCGGAAUCGCUAGUAAUCGCGGAUCGGCAUGUCACCCGGUGAAUACGUUCCCGGGUCUUGUACACUGCCCGUCACACCAUGGGAGUGGGUUUACCAGAAGUAGUUGGCCUAACCGUAAGGAGGGCGAUUACCACGGUAAGUUCAUGACUGGGGUGAAGUCGUAACAAAAGGUAA